AAGCCACGGCUAACUACGUGCCAGCAGCCGCGGUAAUACGUAGGUGGCAAGCGUUGUCCGGAAUUAUUGGGCGUAAAGGGCUCGCAGGCGGUUUCUUAAGUCUGAUGUGAAAGCCCCCGGCUCAACCGGGGAGGGUCAUUGGAAACUGGGGAACUUGAGUGCAGAAGAGGAGAGUGGAAUUCCACGUGUAGCGGUGAAAUGCGUAGAGAUGUGGAGGAACACCAGUGGCGAAGGCGACUCUCUGGUCUGUAACUGACGCUGAGGAGCGAAAGCGUGGGGAGCGAACAGGAUUAGAUACCCUGGUAGUCCACGCCGUAAACGAUGAGUGCUAAGUGUUAGGGGGUUUCCGCCCCUUAGUGCUGCAGCUAACGCAUUAAGCACUCCG
rnacentral:rRNA from 1 species